rnacentral:tRNA from 1 species
CAGAGUGUAACGCAGCGGCAAGCGUGCCUGCCUUGGAUGCAGGGAGUCGCAGGUUCGAAUCCUGCCACUCUGACCA